rnacentral:rRNA from 1 species
AUUGAACGCUGGCGGCAGGCCUAACUCAUGCAAGUCGAGCGAGCGGCGGACAGGUGAGUAAUGUAUGGAGACUGCCCGAUCGACGGGGAUGAAUAAUGGAAACAGUGGCUAAUAGAGCAAACUACCGUAUGACCUAUAGGGGAUUAGCUAGUCGGUGGGGUAAAGGUGCACCUAGGCGACGAUCUCCAGCUGGUCUGAGAGGAGGAUUAGCCACACUGGGACUGAGAAACGGCCCAGACUCCGACGGAGGCAGGAGUGGGGAAGAUUGGACAAUGGGCGCAAGCCUGAUGCAGCCAUGCCGCGUGUAUGAAGAGGGCCUUAGGGUUGUAAAGUACUUUCAGCGGGGAGGCGUUACCCGCAGAAGAAGCACCGGCUAACUCCGUGCCAGCAGCCGCGGUAAUAC